UCUUAUGGAUAAGCAAAGAAAGUGGUUUCUUAAGGUGAAAUCUGCUCUUGGGGAAGAUACUGUGAA
rnacentral:pre_miRNA from 3 species